rnacentral:rRNA from 1 species
UACGGGGGGAGCAAGCGUUGUUCGGAUUUACUGGGCGUAAAGGGCGCGUAGGCGGUCAGCACAAGUCAGUUGUGAAAUCUCCGGGCUUAACUCGGAAAGGUCAACUGAUACUGUGCGACUAGAGUGCAGAAGGGGCAACUGGAAUUCUCGGUGUAGCGGUGAAAUGCGUAGAUAUCGAGAGGAACACCUGCGGCGAAGGCGGGUUGCUGGGCUGACACUGACGCUGAUGCGCGAAAGCCAGGGGAGCGAAGCGGG